CCUUCGGGUUGUAAAGCACUUUCAGCAGUGAGGAAGGCGGGUACGUUAAUAGCGUAUUCGUUUGACGUUAGCUGCAGAAGAAGCACCGGCUAACUCCGUGCCAGCAGCCGCGGUAAUACGGAGGGUGCGAGCGUUAAUCGGAAUUACUGGGCGUAAAGCGCAUGCAGGUGGUUCGUUAAGUCAGAUGUGAAAGCCCGGGGCUCAACCUCGGAACUGCAUUUGAAACUGGCGGACUAGAGUACUGUAGAGGGGGGUAGAAUUUCAGGUGUAGCGGUGAAAUGCGUAGAGAUCUGAAGGAAUACCGGUGGCGAAGGCGGCCCCCUGGACAGAUACUGACACUCAGAUGCGAAAGCGUGGGGAGCAAACAGGAUUAGAUACCCUGGUAGUCCACGCCGUAAACGAUGUCUACUUGGAGGUUGUGGCCUUGAGCCGUGGCUUUCGGAGCUAACGCGUUAAGUAGACCGCCUGGGGAGUACGGUCGCAAGAUUAAAACUCAAAUGAAUUGACGGGGGCCCGCACAAGCGGUGGAGCAUGUGGUUUAAUUCGAUGCAACGCGAAGAACCUUACCUACUCUUGACAUCCAGAGAAGCCAGCGGAGACGCAGGUGUGCCUUCGGGAGCUCUGAGACAGGUGCUGCAUGGCUGUCGUCAGCUCGUGUUGUGAAAUGUUGGGUUAAGUCCCGCAACGAGCGCAACCCUUAUCCUUGUUUGCCAGCGAGUAAUGUCCGGAACUCCAGGGAGACUGCCGGUGAUAAACCGGA
rnacentral:rRNA from 1 species